GACGCAGAAGCCAGGACGGGGAUGGUGAAUUCUCAUAGCGUGGAGCAGUGGACGGUGGGGGUAGCGGUGCCUGGGGUUGAGAAGACCAUGAAGAGACACGCAGAAGUGUCUCCAGCUUCCAGAACAUUCUAUAUCACUAGAGGUGCUCAAGCAACAUGUCCAUCGAAUCUGGACUUCAGCCACCCCAUGGUUCCCUUUACACCAUUCAUCUACCUAAAAGAUCCGUGUCUGUUCUUGGGAAUUUAACAUCAAAAACCACUUCUACUCCAGAGUUUAUGGUGGAGAGAGGGACCCCACAGGCAGCUCAUGGUUCCUACUCUGCUGGUUCUCCAGCAGCACCCGCGUGUCCUCCAGGUCCCAGGUGAGGUGGUGACACUUCCUCUUCAGCUGGUAAGCCAUCUUCUUGGCCUCUUCAUACGCAUUCUGCAGCUCCCCAAGCUAUGGAGAGAAGAGAGUGAGAGGUUCGCUGGUGCCCCCCCCCCCCCGUUUCCAACUCUGUCCGAGCCUUCAUCUCCGAGUCCAAUCUCUCCUCGCACUGUUGAAGGCGCUUGCGUAGGAAAUCGUUCUCCAUCUGAGCACAGUCCAAACGCAUCUGCCACUCGUCCGCUGUGUGACAGAGUCAGCAGCUGCCUCUAUUCAGCAGGAGAGAAUCCACAUAAUAGUGGGAACUGGACAAAGAUGCCCCCAUCCCAUCCAACCAUGAAUGCCAAGUCCCUAGGCAGUGGUAUAAGCAGUGCACUGAUGCUGCCUGCCUCUCACUGGGCAGCCACUCUGAGAGUCAGCCUCAACUUGAUCAUGUAUGUGAAAGCAUGCAGAGCCCAUAUUCCUCAUGGUGAAGAGGUAGCUGAUGGCUAUGGGUUAGUCUACUCCAUAUGGCCCAGCUCUGCGUGUUCAUCAUCUAGGACCAGCUACACUUGAAUGUGAGGAAUCUGGGGCUCAGGGCGACUUUGAAUAGCAUGGUAUGAUUCAAAUACAGAGGGGAAAUUA
rnacentral:lncRNA from 1 species